ACUGGUCUGGGGCCCCUUUGGACCGUGGUCCUGGUGCCAUGGCGCUGUAAAUCCAGUACUGGCACUAUGUGCCUGAGUCUGGACAUUUUUAGUAAGCAGCGUCCAUUUGUCUGCACAUCUGCAGUUGUUCUCAUGGUCUGAACCGAAGGUAUAAAGGGCGGCUCAGACCAGCAUUUCCCCAGUUACUUCUCCUGCCACAAAUCCAGUUAUGAUCAGCAGCAGAGGAGACAGAGGGCAGGUUGUAGAAUACAGAAAGAGACCACACAUCUCAAAGAACCUCCAGCUACAGGUGUAUCAGUAGUAGAAGACUGGACCAAAGAAGGUGUAUAAGGAGCUCCAGGCAGCUGCCCUACAUAUCUCCAGUAGAGAUAAAAGUCCAGAGCUCUUCGGACGUCUAGAGAAUGAAGACUUCUCUCCUUAUCAGAAGCAUGUGGUUUUGGAAAAAUAUUGG